UACGUAGGGUGCAAGCGUUAAUCGGAAUUACUGGGCGUAAAGCGUGCGCAGGCGGUUUUGUAAGACUGUCGUGAAAUCCCCGGGCUUAACCUGGGAAUGGCGAUGGUGACUGCAAGGCUAGAGUUUGGCAGAGGGGGGUAGAAUUCCACGUGUAGCAGUGAAAUGCGCAGAUAUCAGGAGGAACACCGGUGGUGAAGGCGGGUCUCUGGGCCGAUACUGACGCUGAGGAGCGAAAGCGUGGGGAGCGAACAGG
rnacentral:rRNA from 1 species